GGNGCUCUCCCAUAUGGUCGACCUGCAGGCGGCCGCGAAUUCACUAGUGAUUAGAGUUUGAUCCUGGCUCAGGAUGAACGCUAGCUACAGGCUUAACACAUGCAAGUCGAGGGGCAGCAUGACUUAGCAAUAGGUUGAUGGCGACCGGCGCACGGGUGAGUAACACGUAUCCAACCUGCCGAUUAUUCCGGGAUAGCCUUUCGAAAGAAAGAUUAAUACUGGAUAGCAUAACGAGAAGGCAUCUUCUUGUUAUUAAAGAAUUUCGAUAAUCGAUGGGGAUGCGUUCCAUUAGUUUGUUGGCGGGGUAACGGCCCACCAAGACAUCGAUGGAUAGGGGUUCUGAGAGGAAGGUCCCCCACAUUGGAACUGAGACACGGUCCAAACUCCUACGGGAGGCAGCAGUGAGGAAUAUUGGUCAAUGGACGAGAGUCUGAACCAGCCAAGUAGCGUGAAGGAUGACUGCCCUAUGGGUUGUAAACUUCUUUUAUAUGGGAAUAAAGUGGGCCACGUGUGGCCUUUUGUAUGUACCAUACGAAUAAGGAUCGGCUAACUCCGUGCCAGCAGCCGCGGUAAUACGGAGGAUCCGAGCGUUAUCCGGAUUUAUUGGGUUUAAAGGGAGCGUAGGCGGAUUAUUAAGUCAGUUGUGAAAGUUUGCGGCUCAACCGUAAAAUUGCAGUUGAUACUGGUAGUCUUGAGUGCAGCAGAGGUAGGCGGAAUUCGUGGUGUAGCGGUGAAGUGCUUAGAUAUCACGAAGAACUCCGAUUGCGAAGGCAGCUUACUGGACUGUAACUGACGCUGAUGCUCGAAAGUGUGGGUAUCAAACAGGAUUAGAUACCCUGGUAGUCCACACAGUAAACGAUGAAUACUCGCUGUUUGCGAUAUACGGCAAGCGGCCAAGCGAAAGCAUUAAGUAUUCCACCUGGGGAGUACGCCGGCANCGGUGAAACUCAAAGGAANUGACGGGGGCCCGCACNAGCNGA
rnacentral:rRNA from 1 species